UACGUAGGGGGCAAGCGUUGUCCGGAAUCAUUGGGCGUAAAGAGCGUGUAGGCGGCCAGAUAAGUCCGCUGUGAAAUCUCGAGGCUCAACUUCGAGCUGUCGGUGGAAACCAUCUGGCUAGAGUCCGGAAGAGGAGAGUGGAAUUCCUGGUGUAGCGGUGAAAUGCGCAGAUAUCAGGAAGAACACCCGUGGCGAAGGCGGCUCUCUGGUACGUGACUGACGCUGAGACGCGAAAGCGUGGGGAGCGAACAGG
rnacentral:rRNA from 1 species